rnacentral:rRNA from 1 species
CCUACGGGCGGCAGCAGUGAGGAAUAUUGGUCAAUGGGCGAGAGCCUGAACCAGCCAAGUCGCGUGAAGGAUGAAGGACCUAUGGUUUGUAAACUUCUUUUAUAUGGGAGUAAAGUGAGGCACGUGUUCCUUUUUGUAUGUACCAUAUGAAUAAGCAUCGGCUAACUCCGGGCCAGCAGCCGCGGUAAUACGGAGGAUGCGAGCGUUAUCCGGAUUUAUUGGGGUUAAAGGGUGCGUAGGUGGGUAAAUAAGUCAGCGGGGAAAGUUUGUGGCUCAACCACAGAAUUGCCGUUGAAACUGGUUGACUUGAGUGUAUGUGAGGUAGGCGGAAUGCGUGGUGUAGCGGUGGAAUGCAUAGAUAUCACGCAGAACUCCGAUUGCGAAGGCAGCUUACUAGACUAUAACUGACACUGAAGCACGAAAGCGUGGGGAUCAAACAGGAUUAGAUACCCUAGUAGUC